ACAUGCAAGUCGAACGGAAAGGCCCCUUCGGGGGUACUCGAGUGGCGAACGGGUGAGUAACACGUGGGUAAUCUGCCCUGCACUUCGGGAUAAGCCUGGGAAACUGGGUCUAAUACCGGAUAUGACCCCGAGGCGCAUGCCUUGGGGUGGAAAGCUUUUGCGGUGUGGGAUGGGCCCGCGGCCUAUCAGCUUGUUGGUGGGGUGAUGGCCUACCAAGGCGACGACGGGUAGCCGGCCUGAGAGGGUGUCCGGCCACACUGGGACUGAGAUACGGCCCAGACUCCUACGGGAGGCAGCAGUGGGGAAUAUUGCACAAUGGGCGCAAGCCUGAUGCAGCGACGCCGCGUGGGGGAUGACGGCCUUCGGGUUGUAAACCUCUUUCACCAUCGACGAAGGUCCGGGUUUUCUCGGAUUGACGGUAGGUGGAGAAGAAGCACCGGCCAACUACGUGCCAGCAGCCGCGGUAAUACGUAGGGUGCGAGCGUUGUCCGGAAUUACUGGGCGUAAAGAGCUCGUAGGUGGUUUGUCGCGUUGUUCGUGAAAUCUCACGGCUUAACUGUGAGCGUGCGGGCGAUACGGGCAGACUGGAGUACUGCAGGGGAGACUGGAAUUCCUGGUGUAGCGGUGGAAUGCGCAGAUAUCAGGAGGAACACCGGUGGCGAAGGCGGGUCUCUGGGCAGUAACUGACGCUGAGGAGCGAAAGCGUGGGGAGCGAACAGGAUUAGAUACCCUGGUAGUCCACGCCGUAAACGGUGGGUACUAGGUGUGGGUUUCCUUCCUUGGGAUCCGUGCCGUAGCUAACGCAUUAAGUACCCCGCCUGGGGAGUACGGCCGCAAGGCUAAAACUCAAAGGAAUUGACGGGGGCCCGCACAAGCGGCGGAGCAUGUGGAUUAAUUCGAUGCAACGCGAAGAACCUUACCUGGGUUUGACAUGCACAGGACGCGUCUAGAGAUAGGCGUUCCCUUGUGGCCUGUGUGCAGGUGGUGCAUGGCUGUCGUCAGCUCGUGUCGUGAGAUGUUGGGUUAAGUCCCGCAACGAGCGCAACCCUUGUCUCAUGUUGCCAGCGCGUAAUGGCGGGGACUCGUGAGAGACUGCCGGGGUCAACUCGGAGGAAGGUGGGGAUGACGUCAAGUCAUCAUGCCCCUUAUGUCCAGGCUUUCACACAUGCUACAAUGGCCGGUACAAAGGGCUGCGAUGCCGCGAGGUUAAGCGAAUCCUUUUAAAGCCGGUCUCAGUUCGGAUCGGGGUCUGCAACUCGACCCCGUGAAGUCGGAGUCGCUAGUAAUCGCAGAUCAGCAACGCUGCGGUGAAUACGUUCCCGGGCCUUGUACACACCGCCCGUCACGUCAUGAAAGUCGGUAACACCCGAAGCCAGUGGCCUAACCCUUUGGGAGGGA
rnacentral:rRNA from 1 species